UGAGUUUGAUCCUGGUUCAGGAUGAACGCUGGCGGCGUGCUUAACACAUGCAAGUCGAACGGAGUUAUCAUUUUUGAAGCAAUUAGCUUGCUAAGAGUGGAAAUGUUGAUAACUUAGUGGCGGACGGGUGAGUAACGCGUGGGUAACCUGCCAUAUACAGGGGGAUAACACUUAGAAAUAGGUGCUAAUACCGCAUAAGCGCACAGUACUGCAUGGUACAGUGUGAAAAACUCCGGUGGUAUAUGAUGGACCCGCGUCUGAUUAGCUGGUUGGCGGGGUAACGGCCCACCAAGGCGACGAUCAGUAGCCGGCCUGAGAGGGUGAACGGCCACAUUGGGACUGAGACACGGCCCAAACUCCUACGGGAGGCAGCAGUGGGGGAUAUUGGACAAUGGGGGGAACCCUGAUCCAGCGACGCCGCGUGAGUGAAGAAGUAUUUCGGUAUGUAAAGCUCUAUCAGCAGGGAAGAAGAAAUGACGGUACCUGAGUAAGAAGCCCCGGAUAACUACGUGCCAGCAGCCGCGGUAAUACGUAGGGGGCAAGCGUUAUCCGGAAUUACUGGGUGUAAAGGGAGCGUAGACGGUAAAGCAAGUCUGGAGUGAAAGGCUGGGGCCCAACCCCGGGACUGCUCUGGAAACUGUUAAACUGGAGUGCAGGAGAGGCAGGCGGAAUUCCUAGUGUAGCGGUGAAAUGCGUAGAUAUUAGGAGGAACAUCAGUGGCGAAGGCGGCUUACUGGGCUUUAACUGACGCUGAGGCUCGAAAGCGUGGGGAGCAAACAGGAUUAGAUACCCUGGUAGUCCACGCUGUAAACGAUGAUUACUAGGUGUGGGGGGACUUACCCCUUCCGUGCCGCAGUUAACACAAUAAGUAAUCCACCUGGGGAGUACGGUCGCAAGACUGAAACUCAAAGGAAUUGACGGGGGCCCGCACAAGCAGUGGAGUAUGUGGAUUAAUUCGAAGCAACGCGAAGAACCUUACCAGGUCUUGACAUCGAACGAAUUCUGUAGAGAUACGGAAGUGCCCUUCGGGGAGCGUGAAGACAGGUGGUGCAUGGUUGUCGUCAGCUCGUGUCGUGAGAUGUUGGGUUAAGUCCCGCAACGAGCGCAACCC
rnacentral:rRNA from 1 species